rnacentral:rRNA from 1 species
UACGUAGGGGGCUAGCGUUGUCCGGAUUUACUGGGCGUAAAGGGCGCGUAGGCGGCCAGCGCAAGUCAGUUGUGAAAUCUCCGAGCUUAACUCGGAAAGGUCAACUGAUACUGCGCGGCUAGAGUGCGGAAGGGGCAACUGGAAUUCUUGGUGUAGCGGUGAAAUGCGUAGAUAUCAAGAGGAACACCUGCGGCGAAGGCGGGUUGCUGGGCCGACACUGACGCUGAGGCGCGAAAGCCAGGGGAGCGAACGGG